CUGAACCAGCCAAGUAGCGUGAAAGGAUGACUGGCCCUACGGGUUGUAAACUUCUUUUGUGCGGGAAUAAAGGAGCCUACGUGUAGGCUUUUGCAUGUACCGUAACGAAUAAGUAUCGGCUAACUCCGUGCCAGCAGCCGCGGUAAUACGGAGGAUGCGAGCGUUAUCCGGAUUUAUUGGGUUUAAAGGGAGCGCAGACGGGAGAUUAAGUCAGUUGUGAAAGUUUGCGG
rnacentral:rRNA from 1 species